CUGGUGGCAAUCAUGUUGCUGAUCUGCUGUUGCAGGCUAUGCUGCAAGAAGCCUAAGGAGCCACCACCACCGCCACCUCCACCACAGCCAGAGAAGGAUCCAGAGGAGAACCUGCUCCCUCCUACAUCACCACCUGCUCCUUCCCCUCCUCCUCCAUC